GCCACCUGCCACCCCUUUAUGCCCUCAGAAAAAUAUCCACAGUUUGACAGCAGUUGUAGUGCUUCAUUAAAUGAUAAUUUGAAAUGUUUUGUGCAAACUAAUUUCAGUUGAAGCUGGAAUGUUGACUAUGCAGCUAGGUUAUCUGUUUCAUUUUCUAGACUGAUAAAAGUAGCACCAUUGUUACAGCCAAGGUUACAGGACAUCACAAGAUGCCGAAAGGAUAUGACACACUUGUCAAUUGAAAAAGUGUUCACGUCAACGAGUGCAUUGUUUUUACCACUCAUGUGUUCCGACAAAGGAGUCCACGACAGAAUUGUUUAUUGCUGUAAUGGGGCUCAAGGGCAUCACCCAUGGAAAAGGGCUACAUGUAAUGUUGGUGAUGGAAGGCCGGUAGCACAGGUUGAUAUAGUUGCUGGGUCGUCUGGGUUACAGCCCCCAAAUUAGUCUUUUCUAUUCAAUUAAGAUUCUGCAAUUUCAGCCGUUAUUCUUUAAAAGGAAUAACCUACUGCAUCUUAUUGUAUGGUUCUGCCAAUUGCGAAGUUUGGGAGCGGAGUAUAAUGAAGGGAUCCUGUAGUUUUUAGAGUUAAACAGCACUCAUUCAUCUGGAUGUUAUUUUUAAUUAUUGUGUCCUCUUGGCCCAUCCAACCCAGCAUGGUAAUUAUUAAUUAAUUCUGAAUGAAAUUAAGACUGAUGAAUUAUCACACGCGGAAUUGGACAGGUGGUUCGUCCUUGGAGUAGCUGAACGAGGAGACUAUUACGGCAUCAACAAACCCAACGUAUUCACUCGAGCUGUUUUUGUCGGCGGGAUAUAACGAGAAGACCUGGCAGAUAACGCGUUUCCCAUCGACGUCGUCACGAUGAGUUUCAUCGGCUCAUUUUUCUUCCGAUGAGUUAAAACUAUUCUUAUACGUGGAUAGUGAAGAUUUAUUCACUGUGGAACACCUGCAUCGACUUCUUCGACUGGCCAUCGCUGGGGAAAUGGAAUUGAGUUUUGCCUUGUUGCUUCUCAUUUCCAGAAUACUUCCUUCUUUUCUUUCUUACUACUUUCUCUUGGACCAGAAUACUUCUUCGGCCAUGGUCAACAAACCACUCUUUUGAAAAAAGGAACAGCUUAUCAUUGGUAUCUGUUUGUCAUUCUAACGGCCGCCUUAUCAGCUGUUGGCCUGCCCUAGAUGCUCGUCCUUGUUCGGAAUUCGCCACUUAACGCCCACGCACUGACUGAUGUCGAUUAAAAGCAAUAAAUUCACCAAUUGCGAUUUCUGCGAUCACGAUCUUUACACGCUCACCUGCGUCGCGACGCCGUUCGAUUGCGCUGGUUGUUGCGCUGCUGAUUCUAGAUGCAGCCACUUCACUUACAGUACAUCGCCAAUCUCAAAGGAGGAACUUGCAUUUUGAAAAAAGCUUUCGGUUCCUGCGGCGCCUGGGCGUCGCCCGUUCCAUCGCCGUCGUCUCACGUCUGCGGUUACAUCCCCAGACGGGCCCUGCUUGACAUUUUCCUCAACAUUUGCGUCGGAUUGAACAUUAAUACGGGCAUCUUUCGCACCUGAACGGCUUAGCCUAUAAGACGAGGAUCCACACAUGCACCACUUGUAAA
rnacentral:lncRNA from 1 species